UACGUAGGGUGCAGGCGUUAAUCGGAAUUACUGGGCGUAAAGAGCUUGUAGGCGGUUGUGUAAGACAGAUGUGAAAUCCCCGGGCUCAACCUGGGAACUGCAUUUGUGACUGCACGGCUCGAGUGCGGCAGAGGGGGAUGGAAUUCCGCGUGUAGCAGUGAAAUGCGUAGAUAUGCGGAGGAACACCGAUGGCGAAGGCAAUCCCCUGGGCCUGCACUGACGCUCAUGCACGAAAGCGUGGGGAGCAAACAGG
rnacentral:rRNA from 1 species